UACGAAGGGGGCGAGCGUUGUUCGGAUUUACUGGGCGUAAAGGGCGCGCAGGCGGCUCAUUUUGUCAGGCGUGAAAGCCCCGGGCUUAACCUGGGAACUGCGUUUGAUACGGAUGGGCUAGAGUUCGGGAGAGGAGAGUGGAAUUCCCAGUGUAGAGGUGAAAUUCGUAGAUAUUGGGAAGAACACCGGUGGCGAAGGCGGCUCUCUGGACCGAUACUGACGCUGAGGAGCGAAAGUGUGGGGAGCGAACAGG
rnacentral:rRNA from 1 species